CAGAGGCCUUUGUGGAGUGAGGGAGAGGUGCUGGGGCAAGAACCAAGCAAGCAGGCUGCAUAAUCCAGGGCCGUGUUUGGUGUCUAAUUGCAUCCCCACACCCCACCCUGUGUGAUAGCCUCAGCCUGCCCAGGGAGGAGGUCCCAGUCCCAUAGUGACUGAUGCCAGAGGCCAAAGCUCAGCGGGAUCUGGCUUGUUCAGAGAUUCCCCAAGGCUGGGGAGCCUCUUGUUUCUUGCCAGCCGUUGGCAACCCCUGAUUGCCGUCACUGCUGACGCGGUCACCCUCCUGAUUCCUGGUGUGACGGAUGCGAUGUGUUCCUGGCUGACCAGGAAACCAGGUGUUGCCAUCACAGCUGUGGCCCAAGCGUUGGAAGUGGAGGUGGCACAGAGGAAGCAGCUGCAGCAGUAGGUUUGGACUUGUUUAGGUGGCAAACUGCUCAACCAGGAAAAAACUUUUUGAACCCUUCGAACUCAAGAUGUCAUUCAGACGUUGCAAACGUGCAUGAAUGAAAAACAGAUGGAAAGUAUUUCCCGAAGCCUUCCACAUUCUCCUGGAGAAACUCUAGAGGCUAAAGAAAGAAAGAACAUUGAUCUGAAGCAAAUCUUAUUUUGAAGAGUAGAGGAGGAAUUCCUAGAAGAAGGAGGUACAUAAAUUCUCUUGCAAUCCCACAGUCUGGCAAGAUAAUUUUCAUUCAUUCUCCUUUAUUCGUUCAAUAUUAUUUAUUGUUCAACUCAGUGAAGCCUCAUUUAUCCAAAGUAAAUGAAUUGAGUAUCAUCAAAACUAUGGUUAAUAAACAAUGACCACCAGAAACCCACUCACUGUCCUUGUGCAUGCUGGGAACUGACAGUAAGGAGCCUAAGAUAAGGGAACAGCUUUAAA